rnacentral:ncRNA from 2 species
GGGCACAGACAGGGGAGCACCGAAGGGUGCUGAGAGUGCGGAUCCGCCGCAGACCCUCUGAACCUGCUCCGGUUAACACCGGCGAAGGGAGUCAUCUCCAUCAUGCG